AGAGUUUGAUCCUGGCUCAGAACGUACGCUGGCGGCACGCCUAACACAUGCAAGUCGAACGAAGUAGCAAUACUUAGUGGCAGACGGGUGAGUAACAUGUGGGUAUCUGCCCUUUGGCCUGGAAUAACACGAGGAAACUUGUGCUAAUACCGGAUAAGUCUUUACGGAGAAAGCUUUAUGCACCAUUGGAUGAGCCCGCACUUGAUUAGUUUGUUGGUGGGGUAAUGGCCUACCAAGACUGUGAUCAAUAGCUGAUUUGAGAGGAUGAUCAGCCACAUUGGGACUGAGACACGGCCCAAACUCCUACGGGAGGCAGCAGUGGGGAAUCUUGCACAAUGGAGGAAACUCUGAUGCAGCGAUGCCGCGUGAGUGAAGAAGGCCCUUGGGUUGUAAAGCUCUUUCGUCGGGGAAGAAAAUGACUGUACCCGAAUAAGAAGGUCCGGCUAACUUCGUGCCAGCAGCCGCGGUAAUACGAAGGGACCUAGCGUAGUUCGGAAUUACUGGGCUUAAAGAGUUCGUAGGUGGUUGAAAAAGUUAGUGGUGAAAUCCCAGAGCUUAACUCUGGAACUGCCAUUAAAACUUUUCAGCUAGAGUAUGAUAGAGGAGAGCAGAAUUUCUAGUGUAGAGGUGAAAUUCGUAGAUAUUAGAAAGAAUACCAAUUGCGAAGGCAGCUUUCUGGAUCAUUACUGACACUGAGGAACGAAAGCAUGGGUAGCGAAGAGGAUUAGAUACCCUCGUAGUCCAUGCCGUAAACGAUGUGUGUUAGACGUUGGAAAUUUAUUUUCAGUGUCGCAGCGAAAGCGAUAAACACACCGCCUGGGGAGUACGACCGCAAGGUUAAAACUCAAAUGAAUUGACGGGGACCCGCACAAGUAGUGGAGCAUGUGGUUUAAUUCGAAGAUACGCGCAGAACCUUACCAACACUUGACAUGUUCGUCGCGACUCUAAGAGAUUAGAGUUUUCGGUUCGGCCGGACGAAACACAGGUGCUGCAUGGCUGUCGUCAGCUCGUGUCGUGAGAUGUUGGGUUAAGUCCCGCAACGAGCGCAACCCUCACUUUUAGUUGCCAUCAUUAAGUUGGGCACUCUGAAAGAACUGCCAGUGAUAAACUGGAGGAAGGUGGGGAUGACGUCAAGUCCUCAUGGCCCUUACGUGUUGGGCUACACACGUGCUACAAUGGUAUCUACAACAGGAAGCAAGACUGCGAGGUCAAGCAAAUCCUUAAAAGAUACCUCAGUUCGGAUUGCACUCUGCAACUCGAGUGCAUGAAGCUGGAAUUACUAGUAAUCGUGGAUCAGCGUGCCACGGUGAAUGCGUUCCCGGGUCUUGUACACACCGCCCGUCACACCAUGGGAGUUGGUUCUACCUUAAGGCAAGGUUUCAAACCCUUGACCACGGUAUAGUCAGCGACUGGGGUGAAGUCGUAACAAGGUAACC
rnacentral:rRNA from 1 species